rnacentral:rRNA from 1 species
GACGAACCGUGCGAACGUUGUUCGGAUUCACUGGGCGUAAAGGGCGCGUAGGCGGCCACCGCAAGUCGACUGUGAAAUCUCCGGGCUUAACCCGGAACGGUCAGCCGAUACUGCGGGGCUAGAGUGCAGAAGGGGCAACUGGAAUUCUCGGUGUAGCGGUGAAAUGCGUAGAUAUCGAGAGGAACACCUGCGGCGAAGGCGGGUUGCUGGGCUGACACUGACGCUGAGGCGCGAAAGCUAGGGGAGCAAACGGG